GAUCCGUGCCCGACGAGCUUCGGUGGCCUGCAUUUGUGUCCCACCGCCUCCCCUGCGCGCGACCAUGGCAGAUGUGGUGGCGGCGGUGCCGCUGGAUUCAGUGGCAGAUCUGCUAGAUCCUAUGGGGGCAACAUCGGAUCCACUACGAGAUGAGUAGCUACAUGGCAGAGCUAGUUGUGGGAAGUGGCUCAUUUGGCAUCGUCUUCUAGCCAAGUGUUUGGAAACUAGAGAAACGGUGUCAAUCAAGAAGGUGUUGCAGGACCAAUGUUACAAGAACCGUGAAGUGCAACUUAUGUGCUUGAUGGACCAGGACCACCCAACAUCAUCCCCUUGAGGCACUGCUUCUUCUUGAUUACAAGUAGGGAUGAGCUGUUCCUGAACCUUGUCAUAGAGUUUGUCCCUGAUUCUAUCGUGUGCCCAAGCACUACAUCUAUGCAAUCAGCGGAUGCCAAUGAUCUGUAUCAAGCUUUACAUGUAUGAGGUUUGUGGAUUGUGAUUGCGAAAUCAAUUAAUAUUCCGAAA